rnacentral:rRNA from 1 species
UACAGAGGGGGCAAGCGUUGUCCGGAAUUACUGGGCGUAAAGCGUGCGCAGGCGGUUUUGUAAGUCUGUCGUGAAAUCCCCGGGCUCAACCUGGGAAUGGCGAUGGAGACUGCAAGGCUAGAGUUUGGCAGAGGGGGGUAGAAUUCCACGUGUAGCAGUGAAAUGCGUAGAUAUGUGGAGGAACACCGAUGGCGAAGGCAGCCCCCUGGGUCAAAACUGACGCUCAUGCACGAAAGCGUGGGGAGCAAACAGG